UACGUAGGGGGCAAGCGUUGUCCGGAAUCAUUGGGCGUAAAGAGCGCGUAGGCGGUCCGGUAAGUCCGCUGUGAAAGUCAAGGGCUCAACCCUUGAAUGCCGGUGGAUACUGUCGGGCUAGAGUCCGGAAGAGGCGAAUGGAAUUCCUGGUGUAGCGGUGAAAUGCGCAGAUAUCAGGAGGAACACCAAUGGCGAAGGCAGCUCGCUGGGACGGUACUGACGCUGAGGCGCGAAAGCGUGGGGAGCAAACAGG
rnacentral:rRNA from 1 species